rnacentral:rRNA from 1 species
CCCUUAGAUGUUCUGGGCCGCACGCGCGCUACACUGAUGCAUUCAACGAGCCUAUCCUUGACCGACAGGUCCGGGUAAUCUUUGAAUCUGCAUCGUGACGGGGAUAGAUUAUUGCAAUUAUUAAUCUUCAACGAGGAAUGCCUAGUAGGCGCAAGUCAUCAGCUUGCGUCGAUUACGUCCCUGCCCUUUGUACACACCGCCCGUCGCUCCUACUGAUUGGGUGAUCCGGUGAGCUGUUCGGCCAUAGCAAUGUUUCUUGAGCAGGGCAAUGAAUGUUUCGCAAACCUUGCCACUUAGAGGAAGGAGAAGUCGUAACA